CUACUCGAAAAGGAUUAGCAUAAUUGUGCCAUUUUGAGCCAAUAACCGAAAGCGUUCUGUCAUUUCGGCUUUGUGUACGACAUGUUUGAGGAAUUACACGAAGGAGGAGUCUCACUUCCCCCUUCUUU
ensembl:ncRNA C05C9.13 ncRNA